CGGGGUGCAGCAGGCGCGAAACCUCUGCAAUGCGCGAAAGCGUGACAGGGGAAGUCUGAGUGGCGGAAACUUAGUUUCCGUCUUUUGCCAAGUGUAAACAGCUUGGAGAAUAAGGGUGUGGGCAAUCACAUCCUUAGGGUGUUUUUGACAGUCCUAGGAAUUGGCCUAUGACUGGUGGCAGCCGCCGCGGUAACACCAGCGCCUCGAGUGGUACCCACGAAUAUUGGGCCUAAAGCGUCCGUAGCUGGACCUCUAAGUCCGCUGUGAAAUGUUGGGGCUCAACCCUAACGCGUGCAGUGGAUACUGUUGGUCUUGGGAACGGGGGAGGGUCGGGGUACUUCCAGGGUAGGGGUAAAAUCCGUUGAGCCUGGAAGGACCACCAGUGGCGAAGGCGCCGAUCCAAAACGUGUCCGACGGUGAGGGACGAAAGCUGGGGGAGCGAACGGGAUUAGAUACCCCGGUAGUCCCAGCUGUAAAUGAUGCAGACUGUGGUGUUACACAUGAGUAAUCAUGUGUAGUGCUGUAGCGUAGGUGUUAAGUCUGCCGCCUGGGGAGUACGAUCGCAAGAUUUAAACUUAAAGGAAUUGGCGGGGGAGCAC
rnacentral:rRNA from 1 species